CUUCUUCCCCCUUUGGUUAUGGGGGAUUAACAUUCCCCACCUUGAUGUUGUUGCUAUUGUUGUUGUUGUUGAGAUCAGCUUUCAAAGGUGUACUACAAAUUAUUAAGUAUUGGGAAAAAUGGUAGAGAUGGAAUAAAAUUGAUGUUGAGAUUUUAUAUGCAAAAUCCAACUAAUUCAGGAUUGAGGAGAUAGAUGCAACUCUUUGGAUAGCUACAAAAGUUUAACUACUGAUGGGGAUGUCCAUACGGUAGCUUGCUAUUGGGAUUCAGGACCUUCAAGCGUCCUCUGGCAUUGCACUACUGUCUUGGCUUGACGCACCCUCACUAAAUUUAGUUGUAAAAGCUUACUUUACAUUCUCACUUAUCAAUUUUUUGGGAAUUAUAAAAGGUCAUUCUCAAAUCUCUAGAGUAUCAAAAGAUUCAAUUUGUGUUAUGAAUCGACAAAUCUUUAAAGAUUCGUGAAAAAUAAUUUGUGUUUCUUAGUAGUUUUCAAUAUUGUUUACAACAGAGGAA